rnacentral:rRNA from 1 species
AGAGUUUGAUCAUGGCUCAGGAUAAACGCUGGCGGCGUGCCUAACACAUGCAAGUCGAACGUCCUCCUUUUCUUCGGAAGGGGAGGGAGUGGCGGACGGGUGAGUAACACAUGGGUGACCUGGCCUUUGGUGAGGGAUACCGGCGAGAAAUUGCCGACAAGCCCGCAUGCGCUCUUUCUCGUAGAGGGGAGAGAGCAAAG